AUUAGAUUAAGCUGCAUUUUUGGGCUUCUAUAACACGAAACCAACUUUGUUUUCCAGCAUACAAUACUGCAUGAAUUUAGUCUCUAAUUCCUGUUGGCAUUUAUUUUAAUUAAAAACACUGAAGUUACUAACUUUUGAGAACUGCCUGUUGCACAUGUGUGGUAACUUUUGAGAUAUUUCUUAGUAGCUCUAGCUGGAUGCUUUAGUUGAGAUAUCUUGUUUCGUCCUAGGUAAGGCUGCUGGGUGUUGGCAUUGCAAGGGGUCCAAUUUAAAGACCUCUUUCCCAGUGAGAAGAUGUUGAGUCAAAAACUUCUCUGCCCACCUAAGCCCAGGACUCUUGGGAGAGGACGUUCCUGCAGCUCUGACUAAGCCUCCCRGCGCGACCUGCUUACCGGGGAUGCUCCCAGCCUGCGGCACAAGCGGGAAGUCAGAUGAGGCUGCGGGGUUUCACUCCUAUGAGAACUCGCAACAAGUAGAAGCUGAGAUCCUACAGCCACAAGCCUCUGGAAGCUGGGUCUCUGAGAAACCGUUGCUUAAAUGUGGCAGAGGACAAAAAUCACCAAAGGGAACUUAG
rnacentral:lncRNA from 1 species